rnacentral:rRNA from 1 species
GGAAUGAGUGGCGAACGGGGGGAUAAACCCGUGGGAAAUUCCUCCCUAGGAGUUGGGGAUAACAUUCGGAAACGGAAUGCUAAUACCGCAUAUUCUUUUUGAACCCGCAUGGUUUUUAAACGAAAGACGGCUUCGGCUUCGCUCUUAGAUGAUCCCGCGGCGUAUUAGUUAGUUGGUGGGUUAAAGGCCUACCAAGACCAUGAUACGUAGCCGACCUGAGAGGGUGAUUGGCCACACUGGGACUGAGACACGGCCCAGACUCCUACGGGAGGCAGCAGUAGGGAAUCUUCCACAAUGGGUGAAAACCUGAUGGAGCAAUGCCGCGUGAAUGAAGAAGGUCUUCGGAUCGUAAAGUUCUGUUAUUAGAGAAGAACAAGUCAAGGAGUAACUGUCUUGACUUUGACGGUACCUAACCAGAAAGUCACGGCUAACUACGUGCCAGCAGCCGCGGUAAUACGUAGGUGACAAGCGUUGUCCGGAAUUAUUGGGCGUAAAGGGAGCGCAGGCGGUUGGAAUAGUCUGAUGUGAAAGCCCACGGCUUAACCGUGGAAGGUCAUUGGAAACUGUCCAACUUGAAUACAGAAGAGGUAAGUGGAAUUCCAAGUGUAGCGGUGAAAUGCGUAGAUAUUUGGAGGAACACCAGUGGCGAAGGCGACUUACUGGUCUGUAAUUGACGCUGAGGCUCGAAAGCGUGGGUAGCAAACAGGAUUAGAUACCCUGGUAGUCCACGCCGUAAACGAUGAGUGCUAAGUGUUAGGGGGUUUCCGCCCCUUAGUGCUGGAGUUAACGCAUAAGCCACUCCG